UACAGAGGGUGCGAGCGUUAAUCGGAAUUACUGGGCGUAAAGCGUGCGUAGACGGCUAUCUAAGUCGGGUGUGAAAGCCCCGGGCUCAACCUGGGAAUUGCAUUCGAGACUGAAUAGCUAGGGUACGGUAGAGGGAAGCGGAAUUUCCGGUGUAGCGGUGAAAUGCGUAGAUAUCGGAAGGAACAUCAGUGGCGAAAGCGACUUCCUGGACCAAUACUGACGCUGAGGUGCGAAAGCGUGGGGAGCAAACAGG
rnacentral:rRNA from 1 species